UAAGGAAUAUUGGUCAAUGGACGCAAGUCUGAACCAGCCAUGCCGCGUGAAGGAUGAAGAUCCUCUGGAUUGUAAACUUCUUUUAUCUGGGACGAAAACGGGAUUUUUAUCUCAAUUGACGGUACCAGAGGAAUAAGCACCGGCUAACUCCGUGCCAGCAGCCGCGGUAAUACGGAGGGUGCGAGCGUUAUCCGGAUUUACUGGGUUUAAAGGGUGCGUAGGUGGGCUUAUAAGUCAGUGGUGAAAUCUCCGAGCUUAACUUGGAAACUGCCGUUGAUACUAUAGGUCUUGAAUUAUCUGGAGGUAAGCGGAAUAUGUCAUGUAGCGGUGAAAUGCUUAGAUAUGACAUAGAACACCAAUUGCGAAGGCAGCUUACUACAUAUAAAUUGACGCUGAGGCACGAAAGCGUGGGGAUCAAACA
rnacentral:rRNA from 1 species